UUUUAUGGAGAGUUUGAUCCUGGCUCAGGAUGAACGCUGGCGGCGUGCCUAAUACAUGCAAGUCGAGCGAACGGACGAGAAGCUUGCUUCUCUGAUGUUAGCGGCGGACGGGUGAGUAACACGUGGAUAACCUACCUAUAAGACUGGGAUAACUUCGGGAAACCGGAGCUAAUACCGGAUAAUAUUUUGAACCGCAUGGUUCAAAAGUAAAAGACGGUCUUGCUGUCACUUAUAGAUGGAUCCGCGCUGCAUUAGCUAGUUGGUAAGGUAACGGCUUACCAAGGCAACGAUGCAUAGCCGACC
rnacentral:rRNA from 1 species